UUUCGCUGCCCACCCACAUCUUUUCCACAUCACCUUGGUGUCUCCCUAAAUAAAACCAGCCCUCCUUAUCGCACCGAGGAAAUCAAGAGCAAGAGUUUGAAUGGAUUUUAUAUAAAUAUUUAUCCUGACGAAGCUACUGCUGAGCUUGUGGGAUAAACUCGCAGCAGCUGGUCUCACUCUGCUUCCUUCGGCUGCUCCUGAAAGGGUUUAAUUACUUUGGAGAGGAGAGGGAGAGAUCCAGAUCCCAGUUCUGCCUCCAGACUGACCCAAAAAGCAGGACCAGGAUUUAAAUGAACUAUGGAUCUGAAGGACAGCACCAGCGAGGGCAGCAUGGACAGCCUGCAGCCUUCCAGCAUCCAGAUUUUUGCCAACACCACCACGCUCCAUGGGAUCCGUCAUGUCUUUGUCUACGGGCCGGUCACCAUCCGGCGCCUGCUCUGGACCUUGGCCUUUGUGGGCUCGCUGGGUCUCCUCCUGGUGGAGAGCUCGGACAGGGUGGCCUUUUACUUCUCCUACCAGCAUGUGACCAAAGUGGACGAGGUGGUGGCAAACAGCCUGGUGUUUCCCGCUGUCACCAUCUGUAACCUCAACGAGUUCCGCUUCUCCCGGCUCACCACCAAUGACCUGUACCAUGCUGGGGAGCUCCUGUCUCUGCUGGAUGUCAACCUGCAGAUCCCCAACCCUCACCUGGCUGACCCUGCUGUUUUAGCCACCCUCCAAGAAAAGGCCAACUUUAAGCAGUAUAAACCCAAAGUUUUUAGCAUGCAAGAGUUCCUGGCACGGGUUGGCCAUGACCUGAAGGAUAUGAUGCUGUACUGCAAGUUCAGAGGCCAGGAGUGCAGCCACAAGGACUUCAAAACUGUAUUUACAAAAUAUGGGAAAUGCUACAUGUUUAACUCAGGAGAGGAGGGGCGGCCUCUCCUCACCACAGUGAAGGGGGGCACAGGGAAUGGCCUGGAAAUCAUGCUGGACAUCCAGCAGGACGAGUAUCUGCCCAUCUGGGGAGAAACAGAGGAGACGACGUUCGAGGCCGGAGUCAAAGUGCAGAUCCACAGCCAGUCUGAGCCUCCCUUCGUCCAGGAGCUGGGAUUUGGGGUGGCCCCUGGAUUCCAGACCUUUGUGGCCACUCAGGAGCAAAGGCUGACGUACCUGCCCCCGCCGUGGGGCGAGUGCCGCUCCCCGGAGCUGGGGCUGGCGUUUUUCCCGGUGUACAGCGUCACGGCCUGCAGGAUCGACUGCGAGACCCGCUACAUCGUGGAGAACUGCAACUGCAGGAUGGUGCACAUGCCAGGGGACGCUCCCUUCUGCACCCCGGAGCAGUACAAGGAGUGCGCAGAGCCCGCGCUCAGUCUCCUGGCAGAGAAGGACAGCAAUUACUGCAUCUGCAGGACCCCCUGUAACCUCACCAGGUACAACAAGGAGCUCUCCAUGGUCAAGAUCCCCAGCAAGACCUCGGCCAAGUACCUGGAGAAGAAGUUCAACAAGUCGGAAAAAUACAUCUCAGAGAAUAUUCUCGUGCUGGACAUUUUUUUUGAAGCACUCAACUAUGAGACCAUUGAGCAGAAGAAAGCCUAUGAAGUGGCAGCCUUACUUGGUGACAUUGGUGGCCAGAUGGGGCUGUUCAUCGGGGCCAGCAUCCUCACCAUCCUCGAGCUCUUCGAUUACCUGUACGAGCUGAUCAAGGAGAAGUUGUUGGACCUUCUUGGAAAAGAGGAAGAGGACGGGAGCCAUGACGAGAACGUGAGCACCUGUGAUCCAGUGCCAAACCACUCGGAGAGCCUGAGCCACACUGUGACCGUGCCCCUGCAGGCCCCGCUGGGGACGCUGGAGGAAAUCGCCUGCUGACCCCUCCCCACCACAGUGCCCAUCCCGAGGAAGGAAAACUGCACAGGGAAAAACAGGGACCCAGCUCAGUGAGAGGCGCCUUGGACCUGACUCCUGUUGUCCUUUCCUCCUGGGGGUUUGGCUCCAACCUGGGAAGCAGCUGCCAGGCUGGGAGAGCUGGGAAUGUUCACCUGGAAAAGGGAAGCUCAGAGAAGAGAAACCUCAGAGCCCUUUCCAAUGCCUAAAGGGGCUCCAGGAGAGCUGGAGAGGCACUUGGCACACGGGAUGGAGGGACAGGACACUUUUUGGGAUUGUCCAGGCCUGAGCAGCAGCAGCAGCAGCAGCAAAUCCCAAAGGAAGCAUCCCAAAUAUCCCAAGCACUGCACGCCAGGGCUUUGCCUGGCCCCAGGAUUCCUCAGCUGCCUCUCUCAGCUCUGUUCCUCUUUGCAGUCCCUGGGUUUCAGUGCCAGAAGGAGCAUCCCAGAAUUCUCCAUUCCCAGCGCCGUAGGCUGAGAGUUUUAGAAUAAAAGAGAUCCCAAAGUCGGCGCUCUCGGAUUCUUCUCCCGGUCGCGUCCUCUGGGUGAGGUUGGGCUGAAUCCCAAGCUCAGCCCAAGGUGAGCAUCCCUGGAGAGGAGCCACAGGGAUCCCUAUGGAUCAUCCCAGCCCUGCUCCUCCUCCUGCAGUGCCUGCAGAGUCCGGGAGCAGCAGGUGGGGUUGGCUUCAAUCAUUUCUUUAAUUUUUGGGGGGAAUUUUUGCAAUUUCCUUCUUCUCCCAUUCAUGGAUUCUGUGCUUUCUCCUCGUUCUCCUGACUGAUAUUAAAGCUGGUCUUGUGGAAAUGGC